GUUUUUCGUCUUGUAUGGCGGAACUUCUUGGAUUGGUUUAUGAUAAUGGAGCGUUUUGGGAAGAUGCGGUUGAGAAAGCGAUUAAAAAAGUAAAAAAUCCAAAUGCGCUUCUAGAUUUCCGUUCUCUCUUGAAAAAAUACCCUACAAGCUUAUUUAAGAAAGCAUCCGAUAAUUUGAACGCCCUAAAAAUGAUGCUAGUAGAGCAACUCAAGGAAGAAGCUUGGAAAUCUACGUUGUUCAUUAACAUGGCGCUUGAAAAGUUUGCGGAAUGCAAUUCGAUCGUUGCAUCGAAUAAGGAGGUUGAAUGCUCAUAUGUACACAAUUUCCUCAAAUGUUUUACGAACGGUUCCACAUCAUUUGAAAAAUUCUGGAACAGAGAUUUACACAACCUAUUUGAUUCAAGAGAUUAUGCUAUGUCGAUAUCAAAAUCGUUAACCGAUAUAUAUAUGAUGGAGUUAACAUCUCCAAUGGAUUUAUCCACACAUGUUAAAAUAGAAAGUAUGGAUGACCCAAGACUCCAAAAAUAUAUCGAAUAUGUCGAUUCCCAAUCAUUCUCAGAGGAGUUCACUAGCUCAAAUUGCACCUUUAACCUGUUGAGACCAAAAAAUAUGACUUUGAAUGGCAGUUGUUCGGCGAAAGGUACGUUUUU